rnacentral:rRNA from 1 species
AGAGCGAACGCUGGCGGCAGGCCUAACACAUGCAAGUCGAGCGCCCGUAGCAAUACGGGAGCGGCAGACGGGAUAGUAACACGUGGGAACGCGCCCUUCGGUUCGGAAUAACUCAGGGAAACUUGAGCUAAUACCGAAUACGCCCUUACGGGGAAAGAUUUAUUGCCGAAGGAACGGCCCGCGUCCGAUUAGCUAGUUGGUGAGGUAAUGGCUCACCAAGGCGACGAUCGGUAGCUGGUCUGAGAGGAUGACCAGCAUCACUGGGACUGAGACACGGCCCAGACUCCUACGGGAGGCAGCAGUGGGGAAUAUUGGACAAUGGGCGCAAGCCUGAUCCAGCCAUGCCGCGUGGAUGAUGAAGGCCUUAGGGUUGUAAAGUCCUUUUAACGGGGAAGAUAAUGACGGUACCCGUAGAAUAAGCCCCGGCUAACUCGUGCCAGCAGCCGC